rnacentral:tRNA from 1 species
GAAUGUGGCUAAGUGGUGGAGUGCUUGUUUGGCAUGCCCAAGGCCCUGGGUUCAAUCCCCAGCAUCA